UCUAGGAACAUUUAAAUUACUACCAAAUAGUGGGUUGGAGGUAAUGUCUUCUGAGUGAUCCAGUAAUUUCUCUUUACAGGUGGCAGAACUUGAUCUAGACCUUGAAGCAGAAGAUUCUGGGAAAGGAAACCUGGGGCAUUCCAGGAAAUAUAUCAUUCGCAGUAAGUUUGUUGUUGCCUCAAAGUUUAUACUGAACUAUUUCCCACAUUUAUCAACUUGAUAAACACAGGUACUAUAAAAGCAUUGCCUAAGGUAAGUAGGAAUUUACUCUCAAAUGCUUUAGUAUAUAUAUAUUUAUUUCACUUUAAAAAACCUAAUGUAU
rnacentral:lncRNA from 1 species